rnacentral:lncRNA from 1 species
UAACAUAUUUGUUUUUCAUUCAUUAUUUUGUACAUAAGGUAGACUGUCAAUUUUCUAGUUUGUAUUGUUUAAAAUUUGUCAUUUCCAGGGUAUUUUAUUGCUAACUACGUGAUAUGGGCUCUACUCAUUGUUGUAGGGUGUACAGGACCUAUAGUUGUUAAUUUCUGUUUUUUUACAUAACAAUUUUGAUGUAUUUUUUUUUUUUAACAGAGUACAAAUUUUCUAUUUAAAGGCUUUAUGCUGACUUUGCCAAAACCAUUUAAUAUCUAAGAAUAUGCAAUUUUCUACAAUCCAUGUAAAUUGGUAUCCACGUUAAUCU